rnacentral:tRNA from 1 species
GCGCCGGUGGUGCAAGGCGAUCAUCGCUGCCCGGAAAGCAGAAGAUGCGGGUUCGAGUCCCGCCUGGCGCA